UAGCACGUACAUAUUGCAAAUACGAAAUUCAAACCACCAAAAUGACAGUUCAUUGCUAGCAAAAUAUGGUAUGAAAUAUAUAUGGUCAUCAACUGCUAAACAAUAGCAGGGUGCAGUCUCCAUAGUCAAAUUUGCUAACAAUUCAAAUUUUCAGCAAUCAUUAAUUGCCUGUCGAAAUGCCCCGUAAGGAUUACUGUUUAUUAAACUCAGCGGUAUUUAUUUUAAUAAUUAUAAAAGGUUGAUUAACUACUGUUGUAAGUAAUAAUUAAUUCAAUUGUUAUUAAUAUGACUUCUAUGAAUGUAAAAUUAUCUCCAAUAUGUUUUUGUAAGCUACUAUUUAAUUUGAAAACGGUUGUUUGAGCUGUGUAUACAGUAAAAAAAGAUAACUAUACUAUUGUAAUGUGUAAUUAUUGUAUGAAUUUUACCGAGUUCUAGAGGAGUACUUCAUAUUUAAUAUAAUAUAACUGUAUAGAGAAAUUGAUUUGUGUUAACAUUCGACAGCGAUUUAACAUAGCAACCGGGAAAACUUGAGUAUACCGUCCCAGGCUUUCGGUGAUAAAAUGUGUAUGAGCAGAUAGAGGAGAUC